rnacentral:rRNA from 1 species
AGUGAACGCUGGCGGUAGGCCUAACACAUGCAAGUCGAACGGCAGCACAGUAAGAGCUUGCUCUUACGGGUGGCGAGUGGCGGACGGGUGAGGAAUACAUCGGAAUCUACUUUUUCGUGGGGGAUAACGUAGGGAAACUUACGCUAAUACCGCAUACGACCUACGGGUGAAAGCAGGGGAUCUUCGGACCUUGCGCGAUUGAAUGAGCCGAUGUCGGAUUAGCUAGUUGGCGGGGUAAAGGCCCACCAAGGCGACGAUCCGUAGCUGGUCUGAGAGGAUGAUCAGCCACACUGGAACUGAGACACGGUCCAGACUCCUACGGGAGGGAGCAGUGGGGAAUAUUGGACAAAGGGCGCAAGCCUGAUCCAGCCAUACCGCGUGGGGGAAGAAGGCCUUCGGGUUGUAAAGCCCUUUUGUUGGGAAAGAAAAGCAGCAGGUUAAUACCCCGCUGUUCUGACGGUACCCAAAGAAUAAGGACCGGCUAACUUCGUG